rnacentral:rRNA from 1 species
GACGAACGCUGGCGGCGCGCUUAACACAUGCAAGUCGAACGGAAAGGCCUGCUUUCCCUUGUGGAUUGCGGGUACUCGAGUGGCGAACGGGUGAGUAACACGUGAGUGAUCUGCCCCCAACUUGGGUAUAAGCCUGGGAAACUGGGUCUAAUUCCCGAUAGGACUGCAGGGUGGUGCCUGUGGUGGAAAACGAUUUUCUAGUGGUUGGGGAUGAGCUCGCGGCCUAUCAGCUUGUUGGUGGGGUAAUGGCCUACCAAGGCGGCGACGGGUAGCCGGCCUGGGAGGGUGGACGGCCACGUGUGGACUGCGAUACGGCCCAGACUCCUACGGGAGGCAGCAGUGGGGAAUAAUGCACGAUGGGCGGAAGACUGAUGCAGCGACGCCGCGUGGGGGAUGACGGCCUUCGGGUUGUAAACUCCUUUCGACCGCGAGGAAGCCACCUGGUUGGAAGGGUGGUGACGGUAGUGGUAGAAGAAGCACCGGCUAACUACGUG